GAGUUUGAUCGUGGCUCAGAUUGAACGCUGGCGGCAGGCCUAACACAUGCAAGUCGAGCGGUAGAGAGAAGCUUGCUUCUCUUGAGAGCGGCGGACGGGUGAGUAAUGCCUAGGAAUCUGCCUGGUAGUGGGGGAUAACGCUCGGAAACGGACGCUAAUACCGCAUACGUCCUACGGGAGAAAGCAGGGGACCUUCGGGCCUUGCGCUAUCAGAUGAGCCUAGGUCGGAUUAGCUAGUUGGUGAGGUAAUGGCUCACCAAGGCGACGAUCCGUAACUGGUCUGAGAGGAUGAUCAGUCACACUGGAACUGAGACACGGUCCAGACUCCUACGGGAGGCAGCAGUGGGGAAUAUUGGACAACGGGCGAAAGCCUGAUCCAGCCAUGCCGCGUGUGUGAAGAAGGUCUUCGGAUUGUAAAGCACUUUAAGUUGGGUAGGAAGGG
rnacentral:rRNA from 1 species